rfam:Ovis aries breed Texel chromosome 15, whole genome shotgun sequence.
UCCCUUGUGGCUCAGCUGGUAAGGAACCUGCCUGCAAUGCAGGAGACCUGGGUUCAAUUCCUGGGUUGGGAA